GAUGAACGCUGGCGGCGUGCCUAAUACAUGCAAGUCGAGCGAACAGACGAGGAGCUUACUCCUCUGACGUUAGCGGCGGACGGGUGAGUAACACGUGGAUAACCUCCCUAUAAGACUGGGAUAACUUCGGGAAACCGGAGCUAAUACCGGAUAACAUGCUGAACCGCAUGGUUCAACAGUGAAAGACGGUCUUGCUGUCACUUAUAGAUGGAUCUGCGUCGCAUUAGCUAGUUGGUAAGGUAACGGCUUAUUAAGGCGACGAUGCGUAGCCGACCGGAGAGGGUGAUCGGCCACACUGGAACUGGGACGCCGUCCAGACUCCUACGGGAGGCAGCAGAAGGGAAUCUUCCGCAAUGGUCGAAAGCAUGACGGAGCAACGCCAAGUGAGUGAAGAAGGUCUUCGGAUCGUAAAACUCUGUUAUUGGGGAAGAACAACUGUGUAAGUAACUAUGCACGUCUUGACGGUAACUAAUCAGAAAGCCACGGCUAACUACGUG
rnacentral:rRNA from 1 species